GAACCCUAGCUGGCGGCUGGUUGUGCAGAGUGACUGGGCUUUGGUUUGGUGUGGGCUUGGCCCAUUUAUUCACGGCCCAACCCAAGAGGGGGCCCCUUAUUUAGAAAAUUUACCUUCUGAAAUUUGCAAUGGAGAGCUUGAACAGGAAAAGAGGCUCAUGAUCAUGCGAGUCACCAUCACACCGCUUAGUACAUACCCAGGAGUAUGCGCAAUUCGAGUUCGUUUGUAUAACAAAGAGUGUGCGCGUGCGUCGGUGACGCUAAUCCAGUCCUUCGUUUCUUUGCUUUGGAUGUUGCAGAAUGCAGGGAGGAAGGGUGAGGCCGACGUAUGCAGAUCAACCGACAGAAUGCACUCAGGAUGGUCGAUUUCAUUGUCGAUUAUUACGAGUCCAUCGAGAGCUUCCCCGUCCUCAGCCAUGUCGAGGUUUUGGUUCAUUCCGUCCUCCUUGAGCUUUCAUUUCCAUGUUAUAAUUGAUUGGACAGGGUCAACAACAGUUAUCUCGAAUGAUGGGAGUAGAAAAUUCGACUCUCUUUUAUUUCCCUUACAAAGACGGAGUGGUUAGAGAGAUGCAAUCACAGUACAUCUGCAUGUAAGGGAGGGAUACAGAGUUCGGACACAGGUCUUAUUAUCGCCUAACGAUCAUCUUGUAACAGCUAGGCUUUCACUGGUGUCUCGAUAGCAACCUCCCCUGGAUACUGAACGCUUUCCGACUUCUUGUCAGCUUCCCAGAGUUCGGGCAGUGCCUCGCGGAUAUUAUGGAUGCUCUCUAAUGCAUGGUCGACCCCCUUAGUUCGGUGAGCAGUGCCAACCUACAUACAUCGAUGUCGUGACCGAAAAAUUUCAGGAUUUUUCUUUAUAGCAAUCAUCAAUGCCUAUUCCAAGCAUCAAUCUUUAUGCUAUCAAAUAAAGAAUGACAAGCAGUAAUUCAGAUUUUC